GACAGAGGGUGCGAGCGUUAAUCGGAAUUAUUGGGCGUAAAGCGUGCGUAGGCGGUUGAUUAAGUCAGAUGUGAAAGCCCCGAGCUUAACUUGGGAACUGCAUUUGAUACUGAUCAUCUAGAGUAUGGUAGAGGGUAGUGGAAUUUCCGGUGUAGCGGUGAAAUGCAUAGAUACCGGAAGGAACAUCAGUGGCGAAGGCGGCUACCUGGACCAAUACUGACGCUGAGGUACGAAAGCGUGGGUAGCAAACAGG
rnacentral:rRNA from 1 species